ACCAAGUAAGUAAAUCAAUGUGUACAAAAUAUAUAUAAUAUUAGGUAGUGAUAGAUGCCUUGGAAAUAAAAUGAGGAAGAGUAAGAGGAUGAAGAAUGACAAGAAUCAGGCCAGCAGGGAACAUCUGUCUGAAGGGACAUAUUGGCACAGAGAGCUGAAUCAACUUUGGGAAUGAACAAUGUGGAGAUCUGAGGGCAAAGCAUUCUAGGAAUAGGGAACAGCAGGUGCAAAGACUUUUCAGCAGGAAUAUGCUUGUUGUGUAUAACAAACAACAGUCAGGACAAGUGUGGCUUGAGAAGUAUUAGUGAGGGAAAAAAUAGAGGUGCGGUUAGAAAGGAUAAUGAAGAUCCUAUAAGCCAUUGGCUAGUAUUGAGCAAAAGUACAUAACCUGAUUUACAUUUUACUAGGCUGUUAAAAAGAAAACCACAGGUCCAAACUGUGUCUCUUAGGUUAGGCCACAAGUCAGUAAACCAAGACUUAAUACCAAAUCUAACUUCAGUUUCAACUUCCCAGGAAUGUAACAUUUAACCAGUCAACCUGGGAAUUUCCUAGUCAGCACUAAGAAAUUUCCUGCUAGACCCCUUCUGUCCCCCUUAGGAGGGCAACCUCACCUAGAAUGAUGGAUUCAUUGCUCAUAAUUUCCUUAUUUCCACUCCACUUCUACCUUUAAAAACCUUUCCUGUUCCUGCAUCUUGAUGGAACUCGCCUCUACUUGCUAGGUGGGAUGCUGCUCCAAUCAUGAAUUGACCAAUAAAUCCAGUUAGGUCUUUAAAAUGGACUUGGUUGAAUUUAUUAUUUAACAAGACUCACUCUAGCUUCAGUGGGAAGAACUGACUAUAGAAGAUGAGGGGUAUUAUUCUGGGUUCUUCAAAGAAACAGAACCAACAGAAUUUAUUUAACCUUAUUUAUUCAUUUAUGUGUUUAUUUAUUAUAAAGAAUUGGCUCACACAGUUAUGGAGGCUAAGAAUCCUCCAGUCACAGGAUGGAGAACCCCAAGUCAAAGUCCACAGUCCAGAGAAGACCAAUGACCUGCUCAGUGGCAGUCAGAGAGAGCGAAUUCUCCCUUGUUCAGCCUUUUUUGUUCUAUUUGGGCCUCUAGUGGAUUGGAUGAGGCCCACCUCCAUUGGGGAGAGAAAUGUGCUGUAUUCAGUCUAUGAUUUGAAUAUAAAUCUCAUCCAAAGACACCCUCACAGACAUACCUAGAAGAAUAUUUAACCAAUAUCUGGGUCCCAUGGCCCGGUCAAGAGGACACAUCAAAUUAACCAUUACACAAGGAGGCCAGUUAAGAGACAACUGCAUAGACCUGGCAGUGUCUUGGACCAGGAAUGUAGCGCUGCACUUGGUGAGAAGUAGUCAGAUUCCAGAUGCACUUUGAAGGUCUGUCGUUGGGCAAGAGGGUGACCCUGAAGCUUCGGCAUGUGUGUGUAAAUGGUGUUGGUAUUAUAGAGAAGGAGAACACAGGAAGAAAUCCAUUUUGGGGGCUGAAUACAAAAUUUUGUUUUGUGUCUAUUAGUAUUGAGAGGACUACUAACUUCAAAGUGGAGAUUUUAGGCCACCAGAGAGAUAAAACUAGAAGGUCGAGGACAGGAAUAGAGAUUUAAAAAAUGGGGAGUCUUUGGCAUAUAAAAAGUAUAUAUAAUCAGGGGCUGGAUGAGACCUCCAGGGAGAAAACUAGAUUGAGAAGCCGUCUAAGGCCUGAGCCCUGUUUUUUUCAGUAGCAGAGGUCAGGGAGAGAAAAGGACCCAGCCAAGGACGCUAAGAAGAAAAAGCCAGUGUCAGAGGAGGAAACCAGGACGCGAUUUCCUGGAAACCAGAGGGAAAAUAGGGGCUUCACAAGGAGGGAGCGAUCAAGUAUUUGAAAGACUACCAAGAGAUUAAGUCAAAUGUGGCCUGAACAUUUCCCACUGGAUUUGAUUCUUUCCUCCACAUUUCUUCCCAUGUGAUGGAAACGGAUUGAUCCCUAGUGGCACCUAAAGCCAACCCUCCCCAUUCAGGGAGACUGCUAGUUGCCUCCUAAAGAUGUUUUCCUCGUCCUUACUCACAGAACCCCAGUUUUAUCCAAGAUGAUAAUGUGUCUACCUUCUCUGAAGGUGGAAAUAAUCAUAUGGCACAGGACUGUCAAUUAAGGGCAAACAGAAAGCAUGGAAUGGGACUUUUGGAAAGUCCUUGAAAGUGAACUAACUCCACUAGCUUGAGUGUCUGUUUCCCUUUGUUCCUCCCUUUCUUCCUGCCUGAAGCAUGGCUAUGAUGGCUGGAAAUCUGGUAGCUGUCCUGACAGCAAAAGGACAGUGAUUACCCACUAAAGAAGGUGGAUAGAGAAGCUGGACAGAACCCGGAUUGCCCAAUGACAUAAUGGAGCUUCCACGCUCAUCUUGGACUAGUUACCUUUUGAUUUUCUUUUUGUAGAAAUAUAUAUGUGUAUACACACACACACGUAUAUAUAUACAUAUACGUGUAUACAUAUAUAUGUAUAUAUAUAUUUACCGUCUUGCACGUAUUUCCUGUUGUUUGACAACUGAACUUAAUCCUAAGUGAUACACUAGUUGUGUAGUCUUCCUCACCUUGGCUGUCCCUGCCCAAGCAGCCCUGUCCUCCUACACAGUGGAAAUGAUGUGGGGCCGGAGGCACAGGCCACAGUUCUAGGACCAUCUCUGCUAGUCUUACAUAGUGGUGUGCCUUUGGUCAAAUCACUUGAGUGAUCUUCAAACCUCACUGUCCUCAUCUGUAAAAUGGGUGUGUUAGAAGAGCCAGUCCCUGCCCUUCCUUUAUGACUUUAUGUUUUUUUCUUCAGAAUGAACUCUUUCCUAGUUAUUAUUAGUAAGCUGCUCUGGUUAUGCUGCCUAAAGUAAGUAUGAGUGCAGUCCAUCUCUGGGACUAGAUGGAUUAGAUCUUGAAUUAGAUCAAAGCUGUGGAAAAGAAUCCAUGGGCUACAAAAAAUAAAAUAAAACAAACACUUCCAGAGCUUUAGCUACUAAAAUAGAAAGCUUCAUGUAUUUUACUGGCUUGAAAACCAAACCCAAUAAAGCAAGAAAAUCAAGAGCAAAAAACUUCAGGCAUAAAUGAAAACUAGGCGUGAUGCAUUUAAAGGGCUAGUGUGUAUUACAAAGUGAAAACACCUGCGUGAAAAGGCUGGCUGGUUUGCGUGAGCACAGGCUUGCGGAGGACUGCAGUAAAGCCUCCUACAGGCGCUGGCAGAACCCCAGUGCCCCAGGAAGUAGGCAGGUUCCUGUAGGUCGACCUGGAUGAGAGCUGGCUUGCUGCUCAAGACUGAUGCUUCUUCAGAGUACACCAGCCAAGAUGAGACUGAAAACAUUGGAGGCUUUGAUGAGCCAUGUGUUCCAAGCUGCAGAGAACAGAGAACUAAUACUU